AUUGAACGCUGGCGGCAUGCUUUACACAUGCAAGUCGAACGGUAACAGGCCGCAAGGUGCUGACGAGUGGCGAACGGGUGAGUAAUGCAUCGGAACGUGCCCAGUCGCGGGGGAUAACUACUCGAAAGAGUAGCUAAUACCGCAUACGAUCUAUGGAUGAAAGCGGGGGACCGUAAGGGCUCGCGCGAUUGGAGCGGCCGAUGUCAGAUUAGGUAGUUGGUGGGGUAAAGGCUCACCAAGCCAACGAUCUGUAGCUGGUCUGAGAGGACGACCAGCCACACUGGGACUGAGACACGGCCCAGACUCCUACGGGAGGCAGCAGUGGGGAAUUUUGGACAAUGGGCGCAAGCCUGAUCCAGCAAUGCCGCGUGCAGGAAGAAGGCCUUCGGGUUGUAAACUGCUUUUGUACGGAACGAAACGGCUCUGGUUAAUACCCGGGGCUAAUGACGGUACCGUAAGAAUAAGCACCGGCUAACUACGUG
rnacentral:rRNA from 1 species